GCCUAAAUUAAAAAGAAAAAUUACAUUAUUAUAGAGCCCAUUCUUAGAAAAUCCAAAUCACUAAAAUAAUUUGCUUUUGGAGCCCAAAGAUCCCUCUUUGCAUAAGUUACGUAGCCAGCCUCCACCUUCUUUAUGGUUGAUUACUCUCCUUCCCCUCAAGGCAUGCAGCUGCUUGAUCUCCACCUCCUGCUCGAUUCUGCCACUCCACCUCCUGCUCAGACUCUGUCUCAUGAUGUCCACGGUAUACUCAUCCCAUCAUUCACAAACUGCGAACCUUCAGCAAAUUGAGAGAGAAAGCCGAGAGGGAAAGAGGUAGAAGAAACUGUUGUCUUUUAUUUCAAUCUCAUACAAGCUAAGAAACGAAUCUGCCAAGUCCAAGGAACUACUCCUUUCGACCUUCAAUUUGCACCCCAAAUUCAAAGUUCGGUUGAAAGUGAGGGUGGUGUCCCUACUCGGACUAGUGUACACAGGUAUAGUGGAGGCCGUUGGGAGGUGGCCACCUCCCCGGCUGGAGAAAGAUGUAGGUGACCGUGGGAGAGCACCAUCUCCAUGGCACUUGGUGUUCAGAUAUGGCAAAGUAUGAAAGAACUUAGACUGCGCAGUCGAACAAAGAUUUUAGUUGAGCAGUGACGGUGGGGAAUGCUGAGCAGAGUUUACGAUUUUCUUUAUAUUUUAAGUAGAGGCUCUCAGAGGUGCAUGUUUCCAUACAUGUGACCGUGUUCAUUCCGCUGCGUAUUGUUCUUCUAUACUCUGAUAAAUAUUUAUUGAAGAGUAAGAUCUCCAUUC